AAAGAUCUCUGUUGCAACGGACUUGUGUCACGGACGGCAUUGCGUUGCGUUUCCGUUUUCCCCUCUUGUUUGUGGAAUUGUAUUUGUCAUGUAUUGUAAGACACGCGGUUUAUAACAACAAAUGAAAACAAAUGAAUUAACAACGCAGCGGAGAAGUGCGAAACAAAAAUGUGAAUAAACCAAAAGUUGUGUUUCCGUUAAUAAGACAACAAUAAAUUGCAACUAAACGAAAACCGAGAAAAAGAUUAUAAAAGUUCUUGCAUACAUCCGAGGCGAGUGUAUGUGUAAGCAAAGAAAUACAAUAAGAAAGUCAAUAGCAAAAGAGAAUCAAGAAAACAAACUGCAGCCAAGAGGCAAAGCAACAAGUCAACAACUUUAAGACCAGUUUAAACAAAGUGAAACGUUGUGCACGUAUUUUUGUUCGUCGUCCAAGGGGGGACAAGCCAAAGAGCAAGAAGGGGGUGCUGCAAACACAAGAAGCCAGCCAUUUUGUUUUUUCCUUUGGCUUGCCACAAAAAAUCAAGAAAGUGCAAAAGAUAUCGUCGCAACAGAACGCGAUCGUACCAACUCCAAUAUUAAGAAAGCAAACAUGACCUAAAAACAGUGAAAAGUGCAUUUUAAACUAAGAAAAAGUCCAGAAGAAGUCAUCAAACAAGCCAGCAAGAUGUCUCCAAAAACUUAGCAUCCAGUGGCCCCCGCCCCCUACUUUUCUCUGUCCCCAAAACUGGUUCAACCAAAAGGAACUGUGAAACAAACAACAACAAAAUUAGUGCAAUAAUUUAAAGUUAGUGUUAUUCGUAAUAAGAAAAAAAAAACACAUUUGUCCGACAACAACAAAUUUGUUCGCCGAAAAAUCAAAAACACAAAAAAUUGAAAACGAGAAAAAACGAAAUAGUCAUUAAAUUACCCCACCUACAUUUGCAUUAUUUCUCUCUCUCUCUCUCUAUCAACGUGACGUGAUAAAAUUAAACAAAGUCAUCAUUAUCCACAACACAUCCAUCCAUUUAGCAUCAUAAACGCCGCAGUCUACCUCUUUAGCAUCGCUGCUGUUGCAAUUGCAUUGUCAAACACAUUCUCCGCAGCAGCAGUAUUGUCAACAAAUCACGGUGACACUUUUGGGAAUAUCAUUUACGGACGCUCUCCCACUCUAUUAUUGCUGUCACACUCCCGUGUGUUGUUGGACAACACUUAGGAGGACCAUUGGUGCGACCAACCCACAGAAUGGCACCAACAUCUUGGAAAUACUUUUUGAUCGGUAAGUGUAUUAGGAUUGUGCAAAAGAACACCAUGAAGGUGAGUGGCAACCAGGAAUAAACUCGAAGAGCAGCGUAAAUCUUCAAAUCAGCAACAAACACAAGAGCAGGCGGCUCAACCUGCCCUUGUACUUCGACUUGCCCUUUGGCCAAAGACGCUAUGGGGUAGGUGAGUUUUAUUAUGUGUAUAUAACACGAAGCAGCAUUAGCCACGUUAGUACUCAUAUGGGACUAAUUUACGACUAUCAGUAGUAAAUGUGGCAAAUUAAAUAUCAUUAGAAACCAUAAACAUUAUAACAAAUUGUUUUAUGGUUGCCGAAAUCUAAAGCGAAUAAACGUCACAAAAUCACUUGAACACAACAUCAACAUCGACAACGACAUGUAACAAUGCCAGCCACCACCAACUGAAUACGAAAAACGUGAACGAGUGUGUAUGCGGCAGAAUUUAUGGCCAUUUCAGUUUUCCUGUAGACUACAGAAUGCCAAGUACAGGGAACAUCAUUUAGGAGGGUACAUUCGCCAUGUUUGCCGCCUUGUUUGUUUUUUUUUUGUUUGAAGGGAAAGGCAAAAAAGAUACUGAACCCCCAGCCAAAUUUGGUGAAAAUGUAAUCAACCAUAACGUGAUGAGCCGGCAUUAAACAAACAAAGCAAAACAAAAAAAUCCAAUAAAAAUUGAUUUGUGUUAGA
rnacentral:sRNA from 1 species